rnacentral:hammerhead_ribozyme from 1 species
AUCCAGAUAAGGAGUCUCAAAUAGGACGAAAUGCGCAUCCCGUAU